UCCUACGGGGGGCAGCAGUAGGGAAUAUUGCUCAAUGGGGGAACCCCUGAAGCAGCAACGCCGCGUGGAGGAUGAAGGUUUUCGGAUUGUAAACUCCUUUUGUUAGAGAAGAUAAUGACGGUAUCUAACGAAUAAGCACCGGCUAACUCCGUGCCAGCAGCCUCGGUAAUACUAAGGGUGCAAGCUUUACUCGGAAUCACUGGGCGUAAAGAGCUCGUAGCCGGGAUAGCAAGUCAGAUGUGAAAUCCUAUGGCUUAACC
rnacentral:rRNA from 1 species